GGGGACGUAACCGGUUUCGACGGAAAGUACUUUGACAAAACUGCAAGCCGUGUUUGGUAGAGUUUACGCAAAAACUAUCAAAAAUUAUAAACGCCAAUAUAAAAACGCGUUUCGCCAAUGCUAUGGCUAAUUUAGCAAAUAUGUUUGCUCCUCGCGAGCCGGCAUAUGCUAUGGCUUAAGCGUGAAGCGAAUGUUUGCGAAAUUUUUGUUUCCUGACCAUUUUUCGCAGGCAUAAACCCUGUUCAGGAUGCUUCGACAGAAUUUGGCUUUGGCUGUCGACUAAGAUUUAAGCCUUACUUUUAGCAUUUUUUGGCGGUUUGGCUCGCUAAAAGGAAAAAUUAAAACCGCCUAAGCUUGUAGAAGUUUUGUAGUAGUUCUUUUCGGACGAGGGUUCAACUCCCUCCGUCUCCACAA
rnacentral:tmRNA from 1 species